UACGUAGGUGGCAAGCGUUGUCCGGAUUUACUGGGCGUAAAGAGCGCGCAGGCGGUCGUUCAAGUCGCGUGUGAAAGCCCCCGGCUCAACUGGGGAGGGUCACGCGAUACUGAUCGACUCGAAGGCAGGAGAGGGUAGUGGAAUUCCCGGUGUAGUGGUGAAAUGCGUAGAGAUCGGGAGGAACACCCGUGGCGAAGGCGGCCUGCUGGGCCGAUCCUGACGCUGAGGCGCGAAAGCCAGGGGAGCGAACGGG
rnacentral:rRNA from 1 species